UACAUAUACAAUGGUUUGCUAAAUUAGUUUGGUUAACAUAUUUCUAUCGAUAUCUAUCGCUGAUACACUAUAAAAGCUUGCUAAAUUAGUAAAUAUUUUAAGUAAAUUAUCAUUAAAUUUCUCAAAGAAAAAAAUAGAAAUUUGUUUUAGAAAUAAGAAUGGAUAGAAAAGAAAAAGAAAAAAGAAAAAAAAAAAGAAAAAGAAAAAAAAUGGGAUAUAACAAGGGGUACUUUUUUCAAAAAUAUAAAAAAACGGCAAAUUAUUUACAAUCUAUAGAACAAUUCCGAAAACGGAAAAAGCCGAGAGGCCAUCGUGUAAAAUAGGGGUGAGCAUGGUGGGCCGAAAAAUCGAAACGACCGACCGAAACCGAACGAACCAAUGUCGUCGGGCGGGCGAAAAAUAGUAUGAGAGGUCGGGUUUCGGGUUUUGUAAUUUAAAACCGACUUUGAAUCGGUCGGUUCAAGAUAGGAGGUCGGUCGGUUUGGUAAACCGACCGAACCGACUCCCUCUUUAAAAAAAAAAAUAUAUAUAUAUAUAUAUGUUAUAUAAUUUUGUAAAUUAGGUUUCUUUCGUCCUCAUUCCUCGCGUCGUGACCCAUUCUUUCUCGUUUUCGCAAUCGCCGCCGUCCGCACGCCAUCAGCCGCAAUCGCCGCCGCUCGCACGCCGUCCGCACACCUAACCCAAUACCCGUUCGCUCAGCCGCACGCCCAAUUCAUUAUUUGUUAAAUCAAAUGGAUUCAACGGAUAUGGAGUUAGAGUGUGAUGGGAGUUGUGAAGCUUCAAAAAUCGCAAGGGACGAAGAUACAGAUGGCAAGGGUAAAACCAUUGAUGUUGAUCUUGAUUCAUAUGGCAGAGAAGAUGUUCCAAAUCCCCCAAAAAUAAGGAAGAAUGUCAAACAAUCAAUGGUUUGGGACCACUUUGAGAGGCUUAAAGGUGAUCCUAAUGACCCUCGUGCUAAAUGUAAAUAUUGUGGAGUUGUUUAUGCAUGUCAUUCUAAACGUAAUGAUACUGGAACUAUCAAGCAUCAUUUAGAAAAUUGCAAAAAGUACCCUUACCCAAAAAAGAGUGCCCAAACUCAAAUGACAUUAGCUUUUAAACCUAAAGACAAAGUUGGAGAUAAUUCUUCACAACUUGUAUGUGAAUCAUUUAGUUUAGAUGGUUGUCGGGAUGCUUUAGUUGAGAUGAUAAUAGUUGAUGAAUUGCCCUUUAAGUUUGUGGAGGGUAAGGGAUUUAAGAAGUUUGUGGAUAAAUUAACAUGUGGAAAUCAUACUAGAUUUGUUGUUCCAUCUUGAUUUACUGUGGCUGGAGAUGUGCUUAAGUUGUAUGUUAAUGAGAAGAAUUGUUUGAGAGACAUGUUUGUAAAAAAUAAGUAUAGAGUUUCUCUCACCACUGAUUGUUGGACAUCGGGACAAAAUAUUAAUUACAUGGUCCUAAAAGCCCAUUUCAUUGAUUCUGAUUGUUACAUAAGAGAAUACUUAGUUUUUCUCUAAUUGAGAAUCGUAAAGGUGAUACUAUCGGUAAAACCAUUGAAAAGAAUUUGAAGGAUUGGGGCAUUGAGAGGGUAAUGACUUUGACGGUUGAUCAUGCAAGUUUGAAUGACACUGUUGUUGCUUAUCUUUUAAAGAGAUUCAAUAAAGGAUUAUUGUUUGGUGGGAAAUUUCUGCAUGUUCGUUGUUGUGCCCAUAUAUUGAAUCUUAUAGUAACUGAUGCUUUUAAGGAACAUAAUGAUUGUAUUGAUAGGAUUCGAUAUGUUGUGCGAUUUAUAAGGUCUUCUCCUGCUCGUUUUUUGAAAUUUAAAAAGUGCAUUGAACUUGAAAAAAUUGCUUGUAAGAGUUAUGUGUGUCUUGAUGUUCCUACAAGAUGGAACUCCACAUAUAUGAUGCUUGAAGCUGCUGUUAAGUUUGAAAAAGCUUUUGAUAGAUUAGAAGAUGAAGAUGCCUCGUAUAGACAUGAUAUGUCAACGAAUAAGAAAGAUUGGACAAAUGCUUGGAUGUUAAUACGAUUUUUAAAAGUAUUUUAUGAUGUCACAUUAAAGAUUUCGGGUUCUUUGUAUACUACUUCGAACAUGGUUUUCCAUCAGAUUACAGUGGUUCAGAAUUGUAUACGUUUGAAUGCGGGUAAUGCAAAUGCAUUGUUAGUUGGAAUGGCUAAUAACAUGAAGGCAAAGUUCGAGAAAUAUUGGGGAAACAAUGAAAAGAAUAAUUUGUUGUUGUAUGUUGUUAUUGUGUUGGAUCCUCGAAAGAAAUUAAGAUUUGUAUCUUUUUGUUUGAAAAAUGUUUUUGGUCCCGAGGUUGCUGAAUCCAUGGGAAAUGUAGUGGAACAAUGUUGUAGACAUCUCUUUCAUGAGUGUAGUACUACUCGAAGUGGGAGUAGACAAGGAUGUAGUAGUACUAGUACAACUAGUACACAAACUGUUUCAGGCUUGGAUGCUAAUAUUGAUUUUGAUUCGAAUGAAAAUGUGGGUGAAGAUUUUGUCUACGACACGAUUGUUGAGGAAUUUGAAGAUGAUUCUACUACACCUUUCGAAUAAGGAUCAUCGAAGAUUGAUAUCUAUUUGUUGGAAGCCAAUGUUAGGACCGAAGGUGAUUUUGACAUACUACAGUGGUGGAAGAUGAACAGUGAUCGAUUUGAGGUUCUUGGUCAAAUGGCUAGAGAUAUUUUGGCUAUUCCAGUUUCUAUUGUAGUGUCUGAGUCGACUUUUAGUACUGGAGGACGUGUUGUUGACUCAUCACGCUGCUCAUUGGCUCCUAAAACAGUGGAGGCUCUCAUAUGUACUCAAAAUUGGCUAAAUUCUGAUCCAAUACAUCUUCAAUUUCAACAUGAAUUGGAAGAGGCUUCAAAAUUUGAAGAAGGAUUUCGGGUGGUUAUGGAGAAUGAAAAGGAGCCUGAAGACCUUACAGAUUUUGAUAAGUUGUCAAUUACCGAUUAUUAACUAAUUCUGAUCCAAGACUUGUAAUAUUUCUAUUGACUAAAUUAUCAUAGUGUUUUUGUUUCAUACUUUGGUUGUAUUUGUGACUAUUAAUAGUAAUGUGGUGAACUGAAUUGAACUUGGAUGUUUCUAACCCUAUAAUAUUUGAUAUAUAUUUCAUUUUCGUAGUA